rnacentral:lncRNA from 1 species
CGAAAUGGAUUGUGAAAUCAGAACCAAAGUACAAAGGCAAAAUACCUGGCACUAUUCCAUAACGUAAUUACCUCGUAUCCUAAGACAUACUUGAGGGUCCUGCAUUUACACAAGGGUGGGGAUUUAAAUAUGCAUGAGAAAGUCCAGUAAAUCCUAAAGUUGUUUUCAAACGGCCUUUCGUUUCCAAAAUAACUUGAGUAUUUAAUUAGUCUAUUUCUAGAGCAGUGACAUCCACACUGCUCAAGUCAUCUUUUGAAAUUUCAGUAAUCAUAGAAAAAUAAGAAAAAUAAGCGAGACAGACAAUUAAAUCGAAAUGGUUAUGCAUGUAUCUAUCUACUUAAAUGUUUGUACUUAGAGAAAAGGUUAAACUUCAACCCCAGUAUAUCGGCAUUGGAAACCCGUCAUUCCCGAUUCACAAUCUUCCCAAUUAGCUAUUAAAUGACACUAUAACUUCUAGAUGUUAAUGAAGGAGCACACCCGAUAACGAGACCACCACAUGGGCGAAAACCCUGUGCGUUUUCUGACUGCGGUGUAUGGUAAUGAGAUAGAUGUGCUCUUACCAUACGUCCAGACUGAGAGAAGCAAGCCUGUGCUUUCAUAUAUGAGCUAUGUAUUGUGGACAAAAGGAAUGAUUAGAACCUAUGCUCUCUUCCUUAUGAGAUGGGGAAAUCGUGCUUAAAAGUAAGUAGAAGGAACUGCAACAAGGAGGAUCCAAAGCACAGGUUUCCUAGCAUUCAAAUGAGAGAUAGGUCUUGAGUCACAAAGGCGUCCAGAUUUCUCCAAGUGUUUUUGCUAGAAAGUUUUCUUCUGUGUUCUAAAUUAGAAGGAAAUUUCAGUUUAAUAUCUGGAGAGAUGUCCUGAAACAAUGAGACUUGUAUCCAUUUAAAAUACUGUCUGCAUUCACCACCUCAAGACAUUCUAAGCAUUUGCAUUUGUACCUUCCAAUAGUGUGGAUGUACUCUGCAGACAUAGCUUAGAUGAUUCCUGAGCCUUAGGCAUUCACUUGAGGAAGCUUAACUCACUACAUAAACGAUUUCACUAAAACAAACAAGAGCUUUCCUAGCAAGUACCAAAGUGCUAGGAGAGCCGUGGUUGUGCGUUCCCUGUUAAGCAAAGGAUGUAACUGAAAGCAGUCUCGGGAUCUCAGCACGUGGGUUCAAUUUACAAACUUUUCAAAACAUAUUCCUUUCAAAUUUACAGAAUGUUGUUAAUGGAACAAGACAAAACAUAUCCACUUUAGUUUAUCAAAAAUAAAAGAACAUUUAAAAAUAAGCACAUUUCUCACAAAUAGUAUUUAUUUUGGUUGUUCAAUUAGUAAUAUCAUAAGGUUACAAGUGAACAUGAUUUGUAUAUUUUAAUUAAAGAAAUACCACAAAUUGAUUUUUGUUAUUUUUUUAAUUGCACAGAGUUUAAACUACCUUGAUAAAUUCUACUUUCUUCCAGGCUAAAGGCCUUUUCUGGAAAUAAAUAUAUAACUUGAAUAUAUAUUUGUUAACUUUCCUUUUCUGAAUGCAUGCCUAAAAUAGGUUAAUGAGCACAGUCCUUAAAAUACAUUUAAAGUGGACCAAAUCAAGAUUCCCAUAGUAUUGAUUUUCCCUUGAUGUAAUUUAAAAUGUGUAAACUGCCACUCAGACUAGAAGUGCAAUACGUGACAUUUACCCAUUUGGCAAUCUUUUAGAUAAUGGUUGAAUUAAUGCACCGCUGUUUGAACUGAAGCAUCUCAUUACAGUAGAUACGUAACAAAUUUUGUAUGAUACAAAACUUUACAGCAAGCUAUUUGAAUGUUUAUUUAAAAAUUCUCAAAGCGACAUGGAAACAUGUUUACUGUACAAAUAAAAGCACUUAUACAUU